UUAAUAAGUAGCAUUGCAUUUUUCCAACAUUUAUUAAUUGUAUUUUCAAAUUUCAUGUCAUUACACAGUUGUAAUUUUGCACUGUUAAUUAUUUAAUUUGAUUGGUGGUACAGUUCUACAAUGUAAUAUUACAAUUUAUAAUUAUAAAUUAUAUAAUUUAUAAUAGUUUGUUUAUUCUAAAAUAUAUGCCUUUUUGGGUGUUAAUUUUGGUCUCAUUUACAGUACAUAAUGCUUUAAAGAAAUCACAAGAUUAUUUUCUUUAUGUCUUGUAGGUGCAAAGAAUAGCAGCUGAUGUGGAGAAAUGUUCGAUGCUUCAAGACUCUGAAGCUGAUUUUAUUAGGUCCACCCAGUGGCUUUUGACUAUUUGAGGGUCAGAUGGUUGUGAAUUCAUACCUCAACAUUGUGCGUCCCGGGAGCAGGCAUCUUUUGCACACAUUAAUUUUUUCAAAGAUGUUUUCUUGGAAUCACAACACUCACUGGAUACAAGACGGACACAUAGAGGCAAAACAAGUGGAAAAGUCUCAGAAGAGGGACAACCCUCAUGUGUGUGCUCAUCUCAGAAAGUUGAUUGACUUUCAGUAUGUAUUUAUUAAAUUGUCUUUUGCAGGAAUAUUCUUAAUUUAAUAGAACAUAAGCUCAAACAACAGAAUUUGUGAUUUAAUGUUGAUUCCAGCCUUUUAUUUUAAUCCUUUUCUUUAAAACAUAUAUUUUUUUAACAAAAUUAUACAAAUUCUGUUGAUUGACCUUCAUUUUUAUAGAACGUUAAUGUUGUACUCUGAAUAGGGCUUUUUUAAAAACUGUUAUUUGUGAUGCUAUGCUAUUUUUAUGAUAAGAUUUAACUGUUGAAAG